rnacentral:rRNA from 1 species
GUCCAGACUCCUACGGGAGGCAGCAGUGGGGAAUAUUGCACAAUGGGGGAAACCCUGAUGCAGCGACGCCGCGUGAGCGAUGAAGUAUUUCGGUAUGUAAAGCUCUCUCAGCAGGGAAGAAAAUGACGGUACCUGACUAAGAAGCCCCGGCUAACUACGUGCCAGCAGCCGCGGUAAUACGUAGGGGGCAAGCGUUAUCCGGAUUUACUGGGUGUAAAGGGCGUGUAGCCGGGCCGGCAAGUCAGAUGUGAAAUCCCAAGGCUCAACCUUGGAACUGCAUUUGAAACUGUUGGUCUUGAGUAUCGGAGAGGCAGGCGGAAUUCCUAGUGUAGCGGUGAAAUGCGUAGAUAUUAGGAGGAACACCAGUGGCGAAGGCGGCCUGCUGGGCUUUUACUGACGCUGAGGCUCGAAAGUGUGGGGAGCAAACAGGAUUAGAUA